UUGAAUUUUAAUGAAGAGUUUGGUUGUAGCUGGCCCAUUCAUUUGGGCAUGUGCACACCUUCCUCUUUCAUCCCACACACACCUGUGAACCUGUGAGACAGAGAUGGGGAAUUUACUUGCUGCUUUUUGGAAUACGAAGGCAAUAGGUUAUUGGACCCCCCCUCUGUCUACUCAAUUAAUAUAAACUCAAUUUAUUUUAAAACGAAUGUAAUGGAUGUAACACAUCUCAUAC
rnacentral:misc_RNA from 1 species